CAUGAUUUAGCCAGUAUCCUCAAGCGGAGAGACCUUUAGUUUGAAACCCCGAAACCAGGUGAGCUACCCCGAGACAGCCUAUAUUAAUUUAGGGCUAACCCGUCUCUGUGGCAAAAGAGUGGGAAGAGCUCCGGGUAGAAGUGAAAGACCUACCGAACCUGGUGAUAGCUGGUUGCCUGAGAAAUGGAUAGAAGUUCAGCCUCGCAAAUCCCAAACCAAAAAUAUCACCAAGAUACUCAGGGAAACAUGCGAGAGUUAGUUAAAAGGGGUACAGCCCUUUUAACAAAGGAUACAACCUUUACAGGAGGAUAAAGAUCAUAAUGUGUAAGAUGUACUGUUCUAGUGGGCCUGAAAGCAGCCACCUAAACAGAAAGCGUUAAAGCUCGGACAGAAAGGAAUUUAUUAUACUGAUAAAAAAUCUUACUCCCCUAACUGUAUCAGACCAACCCAUGCCCACAUGGAAGAGAUUAUGCUAAAAUGAGUAAUAAGAAGACCCGCUCUUCUCCCAGCACAAGUGUAAACCAGAUCGGACCAACCACUGGAACUUAACGAACCCAACCCAAGAGGGCAGUGUGACUAACAGAGACCUCAAGAAGACCUCACAUAAUCAAUCGUUAAUCCCACACUGGAGUGCUAUUCUUAAGGGAAAGACUAAAAGAAAGGGAAGGAACUCGGCAAACACAAGCCUCGCCUGUUUACCAAAAACAUCGCCUCCUGCAAUUAAGCUAAGUAUAGGAGGUCCAGCCUGCCCAGUGACUACGGGUUCAACGGCCGCGGUAUCUUGACCGUGCAAAGGUAGCGCAAUCACUUGUCUCUUAAAUAGAGACCUGUAUGAAUGGCUAGACGAGGGCUUAACUGUCUCCCCCCUCUAGUCAGUGAAAUUGAUCUAUCCGUGCAGAAGCGGGUAUAAAUAUACAAGACGAGAAGACCCUUUGGAGCUUAAGGUACAAAAUUCAACCACGUUAAACAACUCCAUAAGAAGUAAGAACUUAGUGGCAAUGAAAUUUUACCUUCGGUUGGGGCGACCGCGGAGGAAAAGCAAGCCUCCGAGUGGACUGGGCCAAACCCCUAAAGCCAGUAGAGACAUCUAUAAGCCGCAGAAUAUCUGACCAAAAAUGAUCCGGCUAAAAAGCCGAUCAACGGACCAAGUUACCCAAGGGAUAACAGCGCAAUCCCCUCCCAGAGCCCGUAUCUACGAGGGGGUUUACGACCUCGAUGUUGGAUCAGGACAUCCUAAUGGUGCAGCCGCUAUUAAGGGUUCGUUUGUUCAACGAUUAAAGUCC
rnacentral:rRNA from 1 species